rnacentral:misc_RNA from 1 species
GAUGAAGAACGUAGCGAAAUGCGAUACGUAAUGUGAAUUGCAAAUUCAGUGAAUCAUCGAGUCUUUGAACGCACAUUGCGCCCCCUGGUAUUCCGGGGGGCAUGCCUGUCCCAGCGUCAUUGCUGCCCUCAAGCACGGCUUGUGUGUUGGGCCCCGUCCUCCGAUCCCGGGGGACGGGCCCGAAAGGCAGCGGCGGCACCGCGUCCGGUCCUCGAGCGUAUGGGGCUUUGUCACCCGCUCUGUAGGCCCGGCCGGCGCUUGCCGAUCAACCCAAAUUUUUAUCCAGGUUGACCUCGGAUCAGGUAGGGAUACCCGCUGAACUUAAGCAUAUCAAUAAGCGGAGGA